GUCAAUGGGAUCGGUGGCGCAGUUGGCUAGCGUGCGCGAAGGCAAGUGACUAGAAAUCGUAGUUGCUGGUUCGAAUCCCGCCACCGACA